rnacentral:rRNA from 1 species
GACUACCGGGGUAUCUAAUCCUGUUUGCUCCCCACGCUUUCGUGCAUGAGCGUCAGUGCAGGCCCAGGGGAUUGCCUUCGCCAUCGGUGUUCCUCCGCAUAUCUACGCAUUUCACUGCUACACGCGGAAUUCCAUCCCCCUCUGCCGCACUCAAGCUAUGCAGUCACAAAUGCAGUUCCCAGGUUGAGCCCGGGGAUUUCACAUCUGUCUUGCAUAACCGCCUGCGCACGCUUUACGCCCAGUAAUUCCGAUUAACGCUCGCACCCUACGUAUUACCGCGGCUGCUGGCACGUAGUUAGCCGGUGCUUAUUCUUCAGGUACCGUCAUCCUCCCGAGGUAUUAACCCAGAAGAUUUCUUCCCUGACAAAAGCGGUUUACAACCCGAAGGCCUUCUUCCCGCACGCGGCAUUGCUGGAUCAGACUUGCGUCCAUUGUCCAAAAUUCCCCACUGCAGCCCCCCGUAGG